CCAAGCCCGAUAGAAAGAUACAAUCUUCUUCACGAGAGACUAAAGAGAAAAUUAGGGUUCAUCGUCUUUUUUCAUCUGUGAAAUCCAAGAGCUAGACGAACAAUGGAGAUUUAGCAUGUCAAGCGAGACGAACCGUCGUGAAGAAUAUUUGUAUCAAGCUUCUACAGCAUCGUUUUGUCUUUGGUUCUUUCCUGUGAGACGUUACGAAGUGACUUGAUUCAUCGCCUUUAAGAAACAUCUUAACUCAAUCGACGCAAAUCAAGCACAAAGUCUCAUUCAAUGAUACUCAUCCAUUCAAGGCGGUGUGUAUUUUACCUAUAAAAGGUGGCUCGAUUUGAAUUCUCUUGGGAUGACACUGACUAUAACCAGAGACACUUGAUAAUCUGAAAUUCCAAAUCUGAUUUGCACGUUAUCAACAAUUCUGAGAAAGCUAUCACUAUUAAAAUGAUGGACUUUUGUGACUGAAACCGAACCAAGAACAAGAAGAAGUCUUUAAUAUAUCAUUUUUAUGAGACUGAGAUUAUAUCAUAUAUCUACUCAAUGGUUUAGUGUGUUUGCUUUUAGUUUUUUUUUAUCUCCUCUACUAACUUAAGCUUCCAUGAAUGGCAAAUUCUCAAAUCAACUUUUCUGAUUUGAAGGAUGGCCACUGUAGGCAGUUUGUGGUGACACGUCUUCUUCGAUGAUGGAAGGCUCACAAUGAAAUAAGACGUUGUUUGUCAGGUAAGGGAAACUACGGUUUAUCUACUUCAUGAAAAGUUAGUACUCUUGUGUGUUGAGCCAAAGGUGAUGAUCGCAACCAACAUCUAUCCGAAAUUAGUUGGAGAGGACCAUCCAGAUGAUGAUAUGACAGGGGCUGUUAAUCUCUCUAUGGACUCGAACCUAAUUGUAAACAACAUUGGUCUAGAUAACACCAAGUCACCAACAGGUGUGAUGCUGCUGCAUCAAUCGAAGGCUGUUCAGAAGUGUCUGAACCAAUUCCUCCGAAACUGAUCCACUGAUCAACACGAAGGAGGAAAAAAUGGAUGGUGACAAGGGUCCAAAUCUUAAGAAACCUCCAGAUGCUUGAUCACUCCAACUAUGGAGACAAUGAAGUUGGCGAAAAAUUUCGCAGUUCCAUUUCCGGUUCCUAUGUUUUUACACUUCACUGAGUAAUGUUGUUGUCUUUCAACUUUUUAACUAUCCGGUUCUUGGUUAUCGUUAGUUAAGUAUUUUGGUACACCCAGUAAUUUUAGUAUCUGUGUUGUGGUUCUGGAACUUUUUUAGCAACCAGAUUUUUGGUUUGUAUUGUUUUGGUAUUAUUUUGGUA